AUCCUACGGGAGGCAGCAGUGGGGGAUAUUGGACAAUGGGGGGAACCCUGAUCCAGCGACGCUGCGUGAGUGAAGAAGUAUUUCGGUAUGUAAAGCUCUAUCGGCAGGGAAGAAAAAGCGCGCGAGCGCCCUUGACAGUACCUGACUAAGAAGCCCCGGCUAACUACGUGCCAGCAGCCGCGGUAAUACGUAGGGGGCAAUCGUUAUCCGGAUUUACUGGGUGUAAAUGGA
rnacentral:rRNA from 1 species